AUUGAACGCUGGCGGCAGGCUUAACACAUGCAAGUCGAGCGAUAGGAGCACGGGUGAGUAUAAUCCGGGAAACUGCCUGCUUUAGGGGGAUAACUACAGGAAACGGUAGCUAAUACCGCAUACCAUCUGUUUUGCCCAGAUGGGAUUAGCUGGUAGGUGGGGUAACGUGUCACCUAGGCGACGAUCCCUAGCUGGACUGAGAGGAUGACCAGCCGAACGGGAACGGAGCAACGGUGCAGACUCCUACGGGAGGAAGCAGGGGGGAAUUUUGCACAAUGGGAGCAAGCCUGAUGGAGCCAUGCAGCGUGUGUGAAGAAGGCCUUAGGGCUGUAAAGUACUUUCAGCGGGGCGGGGGUACCCGCAGAAGAAGCGCCGGCUAACUCCGUGCCAGCAGCCGCGGUAAUUC
rnacentral:rRNA from 1 species